CCACAAAAGGAAGAGGGAGCCUGAGAAACGGCUACCACAUCCAAGGAAGGCAGCAGGCGUGCAAAUUACCCACUCCCGGCUCGGGGAGGUAGUGACGAAAAAUAACAGAUACGGGACUCUUUUGAGGCUCCGUAAUUGGAAUGAGCGCACUUUGAAUCCUUUAAAAA